CGGCGGACGGGUGAGUAACACGUGGAUAACCUACCUAUAAGACUGGGAUAACUUCGGGAAACCGGAGCUAAUACCGGAUAAUAUAUUAAACCGCAUGGUUCAAUAGUGAAAGACGGUUUUGCUGUCACUUAUAGAUGGAUCCGCGCCGCAUUAGCUAGUUUGUAAGGUAACGGCUUACCAAGGCAACGAUGCGUAGCCGACCUGAGAGGGUGAUCGGCCACACUGGAACUGAGACACGGUCCAG
rnacentral:rRNA from 1 species